CACAAAUUAAUCAAUCUCAUCUCUCUACCGUUCCCUUUCUAUGCCUGUUCCCUUCUCAUUCAAUGUCAUUAUCAGUUUCUUCAACUCAACCGUUCAUCUUUCAAUGCAAUCAAAAGAUUCUUGAAUUCAAAAGCCCUGUCCGUUGCAUAAGUCCUCCUGAGAUGACGCCGGGUCAGUGAUAAUGGUGUUCGGAUGAUGGCGGUGGUAGGUUGGGGACAAAGCGAAGCCCCAACAACGAUGGCUUUAGGGUUCUGUCGCAAGUCAGUCAAGGGGUUAGUAGGAUUCGGGCAGAUGAAUAUUGUGGUAAAGGAUCCUUCUUCAAUUGCUCGUUUGUUUCCGCUAAGAUGAUUUUGCAAAAAACUGCAAAUUUUCUCAACUUAACUUGAGAAAACGGGAUAUAGAAUAGUAGUAUGUCGGGCAUGGCCUGGUAGUACCCAAAAGAACCGAAACGCUGAUAAAUCUUUCGACCCUUCUAAUUUACCAGCCGGCAGAUCUGAGGUCUUUAGCUCUCUAAUUUACCAUUCUCGUUGUAAUUCAAUGAAGUUUCUAGACUGGUACCUGAAGAUUGGAGUCGUAUCAGCUGCAAUCGGAGGUUCUAUGGAGUAUUUUAUGAUCAAAACCGGCUUCUGUAAGUCCCACCUUUCUUAUAAUGAUAUAAUCCACUGAUGUAUUAGUUAUUUCAGUUUUUAUCAUUUGCCAGUUGAAUUUUGUUUAUCUGUUUGUGUUUAUGAAACUACAUAUUCUGGUUAAUCAUCACUAUUAGGGUUUUAUUUUAUCUUUAUUCAUCACCGGCGAAUUUUUAUAUUUAAUCUGAUUUUAUUUUAUUUUUUUGGGUUUGAUUUCGGUUGUCGAAUCGUCGGACAAUAACUCUGCUGUUCUCGACACGAAAUCGUCUUCGGUUGAAAGAAUCAGUAAGAAAUCAAGUGGCGGUUUGGAUGCCGAUAGUGUUCAAUUCGAGAAUCUUACUGCUAGAAAAGUGGAAUCGGACAUUUCGGUUAAGGAAUUGUUUCGAUACGGUGACCCGAACAAGAAGUCGAAACGGGUAUUUGAUAAAACGCAAGAACUGACUUACGAACAGAAGCUCGAAAUAAGAAGGAAUUUGUUUAGAGAAUUUGCGUAUUUGAAAAAAAGAGUUCGCGAUGAUGAUGAUUCGUAUACUCUUGAACUAGAACGCGAGGGGCCGAAUAAGAAAUGAAAUAAGUACGAAUGCUUGAACUGCAACAAGGUUUUUACGUCGUUUCAAGGGCUUGGCAGGCAUAGACCGUGUCACAAAAAGAACAAUACGGUUGGAUCAAAACACGACAGUGGCGAAAACAGUUUAGAAGGUGACUUUGCACAUACUCGAAAGGCGAAAUACGAUAACAAAACGAAGGUGAAAAAGAUCAAAGGGCACGAAUGCCCGAUUUGUUUCAGGAUGUUUAAAUCGGGGCAAGCUUUAGGUGGUCACAAACGGUCUCAUUUUAUUAACGGGUCGAUGGAUCAUUAUGCGGCCAUGGGUCACGCGACUCCAUCGUGGUCGGAGGUGUUGACUUAGCUGUAUAUGUAGCUUGCUUUUUUGCACUCUUUCAAUGAGGCCUAUUUAUAGUAGAACCCCAUAUUUAACAACUGUUCAUAUUUGAUAGAACAUGGUAAAACUUAUAACAGUGAGUUGCUUCUUAUGCAUUUCAAGAAAACUGGGAGCUUUGUGUGUUAAUAGGGAUCUUGGGGCGGACCUGUUUCGGAUCUUGUUCAAUUUUAUAAUAACUAUCUUAAAGAUUUGAAUAAAAAGGUAUCCGGUCAACCAAACAAAACAAGCCUGUCCGGUUUACCCAAUCCUCUGUCCGUUCAUUUACCCACAAUUAAUAUUACAUUUUCCCACCUUUAAUAAUUUUACCCAAUCCGGUCGCCUCUUCGCCAUCUCUUUCCUAGCAAAGCUGGAGGGGAACUCCUGUACACUCACACUCACAUUCGGAAUAUUCUUAUUUUCUAUACUGCACUAUUUGAUUCAUUCUGUGAAUAUAAUUAAAUGUUUUUUUCGGGUGAUUUAGGUUUGGCCGAAUCCAAUCAACUUACCAUCUGGUAAAUCAUGUCUGUGACAUCUGUGGUCAACCUCUUCAGUUCUUGCUUCAGCUGGAAUUCCAAUGGAAAAUAUUCUAUAUCUCGGUGGACUAAAUAUCGCAUCAGAAAUAUAUAAUAAGGAGUAUGCAAAUGCGCGGAUAUGUGGACCAGAGAAAUGGAGGAAACCACUAGCCAAGUUUCUAAGGCAACCACACUUUACUGUAUGGGAUAACGGUGAUCUUAUCUCUCAUGAAGUGAUUGGUGGGUUAAAGAACGUCUAUGCCAUUGGAGCUGGAGGCCACAAAUUUGGUAUUCAUUGCCUGAGUGUGAUACUGUGGAGUUCUCUUCUCAUCCACAACCACUGCGCGCAAAAAGCGUUGCUGGUAUUUGAGGUCGAGCAGUUUUUUUAUGAGCCUAGCAAUGGAUGCUGUAGGAUUUGCUUAGGGUGUUAAGAGUCCAACCAACAUGCAACUUUUUCAUUUGGUGUGAAAUUGUAGGCACCCAUUUAUAUUGCUAAGGUGUUUAUAUUGAUAAGAUAUAAUUAUAUAAAUGAUAAAGAGACUAUUUUAUUGAUUAGACAUCUCAUUCAUUUGUGAACGGGUCAAAAUUGCCUGCUUUUGUUACGAGUUAAGGGUGUGUAAGUUAUUUGAGAAGGAUAGGAUUGUAACUUCCAUGAUAUUGAAAACUGUUAUAUGAGGGUUGGCAUUUAUUGAAUGGUUCAUCUUAACUGGCUUUUUAUGCAACUUUUUACGGAUUUAAAGAAUAACUUGGCACUACUAAUUAUGUUAUUUACAUUCCUUUAUGCAACUUAUUAUUCUUCCUUUUACUGAAAGGGGAAUCCUAGUAUUCCAUGUAGGGUUUAUUCAAGAUAUUUCUAUGUUGAUAUACGAGUAAUUAAUCUAAUAUAUCAUCUUCUCCUCUGUAUUUACAGGAACACUCAGCUAAGGUUCCAAUUUAUAGUAAUGAAUCGUUGAAGCACAUGCAAGUUUCUUUUAAGUUUUGUUAAUUAUUUUUAUUUUUAUUUAGAAGCAUCAAGAAACCUCACUAUAUUCACUUAUUAAGUAUCAACAAUGCAUGUACAUUGAGCUAAUAUGUUGUGCUUUCUCUGUCUUUUCUGAAUUCAUAUUAACAUUUUAAUUUUA